GCAAACAUGGCUCAAUUGGUUAAAGUUUGGUUCUGAUAAUGCCAAGGUUGCAGGUUCGAUCCCCAUAUGGAACA